UGGGAGCUCAGAGCAGGGGUCUGUGUCAUGUAAGUUUCUCUCAGUGGCAGAUCUUGCUGUACAAGUUGAAUGCAAGGAAUUUGCUCGGGAGGCCUCCUAGGGAAACUGCAGUGGGGGGAGAACAAGGCGGAGAAGGGAGAAGGGGAGCGAGCCAACGCAGGUGUCUUGGGUUGAUUCAUAUCCACCUGGAACCUCAAAAUGUGAUAUUAGUUAAAGUAAGGAUAGAGCAGACCGUAACCUCAUAACUGGGUCUGUAUCAGAAGAGAGGACACUCCGGGACGGCCACGUGACAGCGCGGCGGCCUGGCGCACCCAAAGGCGGUGGAGAGCUGGACAGGCAGAGCGAGCAGGGUUGGAAGGUGCAUGAGGGCCCUCCCCGCUGCCUCCAGAGGGAGUGUGGCCCUGCCCGCACCUUGACCCCAGGGUCCCGGCUUCCGGAACCAAGAGAGGAUACGUUUCUGUUGUUUUGAUGAAUUUAAGUUCUGUUGUUGGCAACUUUGUGGCAAUGUGUUCUUCUCCAGUGAUCUAGCCUCGACUUUGCGCUAGCAGACGCUGGGCGGCGGGAGUGGCUGAGGAGCUGGAACUGGACGAGUUUGGGGCACGGGAUGGAAGGUGCCUCAAUGUCCUCCAAGAGCUUCUCGGUAGAAAUAGGGACGAGAAAGGCUCCUCUGGGGAGGGCAUUGGGGAAUUGAGUGUGGCAGAGCCUGGUUGAACCAUGUUCUCAGGUUGAGCACAAAGGAGACACUGGAAGGGACGAACUUGGAUGUUUAGCUGAGGACAUUUUCAAACAAAGCUGCUUGUAAAACCUGGGGGUGGGGGGCCAGGAGGCCAAUGGGGGAAGGACUGUUGGGCAGAAGGGAACCUGCCCAGAUUGUUAAAUUAGGUCUGAAGGGACACCGGCGGUGCAGUGGGAACCCCUGUUCCUGGAGAAAUUGGGGGUGCACCCUCUCAGCCCAGCACCGGGACAGAGGUGGGGACCCCAGGCCAGGUCUGUGGGGGUUCUUGUCUGGUGGUAUGAACUCCCUGACGGGGUGCCCAGGGCCCCAGAGAGCAGGGCUGCUGCCAUGUGCCUAGAGGACAGAGUGUCGGGCCACAGAGGAUUAUUCUUGGGCCCUGAAGUCUCUGGCUGCUUCUUCUCCAGGCUUCAGACUUGCUUGGGACCAGCAACUCAGUCCUUCAGUCCAUUCUCCUCUCCCUUUUGGAAUGGGUUAAGACUCUGAGAGUUGGGAGGAUGGGCGGAUAUAUUCUGAACAUGAGACCAAAGUGACUUUUAAGGGGAUCAGAGGGCAGAGUGUGGUGGGUUGAAUAAUGUCCCCCCAAAUCCACAUCCACCUGAAACAUCAGAAUGUGACAUAAUUUGGAAAUAAGAUCUUUGCGGAUGUAGUUAAGAUGGGGUCCCUGUGACAGGUGUCCCUGUAGGAAGAGGGAGAAGAUGCCCAAAGGUGGAGGGCAGAGCCAGGCACAGCACCAGCGCAGCCCACGGACAAGGAACGGCGUGUGCUCUCCAGCGGUCCCAAGCCUGCUAUUCUGUAGCGCUUUGCUGCAGUGGCCCCAGGACACUGACACAGGGCAUGGUGUGGAGCCACUCUCAUCUGGAGGACCUGGGAACAUCCAGCCCUCUGAAGUCUGCAGCAGCAUGCUCUGCAUGAAGGAUCACCGUGCUCAGUUCAGCAGGUUGUCCACUGUACAAGGGUCCCAGUGAGCAUGUAGCCACACUGAGAUCCAGCCUGCGCUCACUGUCAGGGCCUUGGCCUUCACCAGCUGGGUGAGCCUCAAAAUCCCCUGGCCCUCCCUGAGCCCCACAGAGGAGCUGGGAACAAGACGGUCUCCAGUGAUCUUAGGAGCAUAGGGUGCAGGGGACGAGGGAGAUACAAGUGCAGCAAAACCCAGGAUGGCCACGUGAACUUGGACCCACCCAGGCUGAGAGGGGUCUGAAGAGAAGGAAAAUCCACGUGCACCAUCGGCAGGACCGCAGGUGCUCAAGAGUUGACCUGGUCUCUGCUCUCGGGCUUUGCCCACAUGCCGGUGGACGGCAGCAGGACAGCCCGAGGCUCGAUGGAUGGACUGCACAUUCCCGUGAAGUCUAGAAGUACGGGGAAGCUCCCAGGACACGGGAGUGUCCCCUCCAGCACUGACACCAUGAGCUGCUCCCCCCUGGGGUCUCCUCUGUGUGCACCUGCUUGUGCAUGUCUGCUCCAGCAGACCUCCGAGGCAUCACACCCGCCUAUGGGGUCUGAAUCUGAUGCUACUCUCUGCUCGGGAGCAGGCCGCUGGAGUGCAGGUGGCCUGGCAGACACAUAGCAGGGUCUGGGACAAGCCGGCCCAGGGCCCGGACUCCCACGUGGCUCUCAAAUUUGCCAAGGAUCGUAGCACUGAAAGACAAGGUCUGUCUGCACUCCUGGAACCCAAGUUCUAUGGCUACUUGAAGAACAGAGUAAAACAGAAGAGAGCUUCCACGCUUAGGCCGAGAUGUGCACUUCCCGUCUUCUGGGACACGCGCUCCUGGGAGCCAACUCAGGCAGCCUCGGGGAGAAGCCAGAAGGGUGAGCCCUCUGAAGAUGGCCCUCGAUGGCAAACUCAGGAGCAGAAAUGACUGUGGCCCUUGUAAGCAGUAUCCCCUGCUUACGGCAGCAGGAUCCAGGAGCCCUGGCCCUCGUGCACCUCUGCCUGGCCGCAGCGACUGGCCCAGGGACAAAUGAGCCCAUGGUCCAGAGUGUCCCUGGGCAGUGGCGUCGGGAUGCUGGGAGGGCAGGACCCAGAACCACAAGGGCCUUUCUCAGAAGUCCUCACCUCUGCCCCUGGGCUGACACUGGGUUUCUCUCUUUUGUAGCCGACUAGGGCAGCCCUUUAGCAAACUGUGCGGCUCGAAAGCCCGAGCCUCAGUUUCUCACCCAUAAAGCAAAGACAGCCAAGUUCUCGGGAUGGUCACUGGACAGCAUGGCUGUCAGCAUGGAGAGUAAGGGGGCAAGAGCGGGUGCACAGCCCCUUCCCACUCUGCUGUCUGGUGGACCUGCUUCUGCGGUGAUGACACAGAGCCCCUCCUACCAGCCCUGACUGUGGGCCUCCCAUGCUGGACAUGCUCAGAGGCACCGCACAUCUUGUCAGCCCUCAGCCCAGAUGGAUCCGUGCUUGUUGCAGAAACUUCAGAUGUCACAAAGAAGAGUGAAGAAGCAGGAAACAGUGGCCUGCAGCCCAGAGGUGGGGAGCAACCCCGCAGGCCACGUCCCUCUCGUGUCGGCUGUGUCCCAUGCCCUGUGUAGGCCUGGCACCUGGGAGGGGCUGGUGGGAUCUUGUCUGUGAAUCUACCACCUGCUUUCAUCCUCCAGGGAAGCAUGAGGCCCUGAGGCCUGUCUCCCGGCAGGAGAUGGGGGAGAUGCCUUGCUGCGUCAUCCCCGAACCAUCAUUGUGAACCUGGGGGUGGCAGAUCAAUGACACUUGGGGGACCCACCCUCUCCCUCCUGAGAGGCCAGACAAGCUGGCAUGUGCAGGCUGCAUGUCAGGGAGGACAGCUGGGCAGUGACAGCUGGGCCCUGGCAGGCAGCAGGCUCCAGGCAGGGGCUCACCUGCGGAAGGGGACCGGGCUGCUGCCUUCCUGUGGGGUAGCUGGAGGGCCUAAGUGCACGGAGGGUGCCAUUGUGGGGCAAGUCCUCCCCACACAUUCAGCUCAUUGGAGCUACAA